AACGCAUUGCAUCGAGCUUUGCCCAAGCACGAUAUGCCCCAUUGAGCGUCCUUAAGUCUUUAGGAAUGUUUAUUCAUUACUAAGUUCGGGUUUCAUGGCGUCACCGUCACGUUACCUUAGAUGCAUUACGCGUCGCACUCCGGUUGCGCUCCUUGUUGUACACUUCAAGGCGUUUCCUAAUGCGUUAUCGCACUUACGCUCGACACCUUUGGUGAAGAGCAGAACCGUGUUCCGUCCUCGGAUGGUCCACCCUUCCUUGACUUAACCUCACGGGGGCAAGACGACCCGCUAGACUUAA
rnacentral:misc_RNA from 1 species